UACAGAGGGUGCGAGCGUUAAUCGGAAUUACUGGGCGUAAAGGGUGCGUAGGUGGUUUGAUAAGUUAGGUGUGAAAGUCCCGGGCUUAACCUGGGGAUUGCGCCUGAUACUGUCAGGCUAGAGUACUGUAGAGGGAAGUGGAAUUUCCGGUGUAGCGGUGAAAUGCGUAGAUAUCACUUGGAACGCCAAUGGUGAAGACAGCUCGCUGGGGGUGUCCUGACGCUGAGGCGCGAAAGCCAGGGGAGCGAACGGG
rnacentral:rRNA from 1 species